rnacentral:rRNA from 1 species
GGUUAAGCGACUAAGCGUACACGGUGGAUGCCCUGGCAGUCAGAGGCGAUGAAGGACGUGCUAAUCUGCGAUAAGCGUCGGUAAGGUGAUAUGAACCGUUAUAACCGGCGAUUUCCGAAUGGGGAAACCCAGUGUGAUUCGUCACACUAUCAUUAACUGAAUCCAUAGGUUAAUGAGGCGAACCGGGGGAACUGAAACAUCUAAGUACCCCGAGGAAAAGAAAUCAACCGAGAUUCCCCCAGUAGCGGCGAGCGAACGGGGAGCAGCCCAGAGCCUGAAUCAGUGUGUGUGUUAGUGGAAGCGUCUGGAAAGGCGCGCGAUACAGGGUGACAGCCCCGUACACAAAAAUGCACAUGCUGUGAGCUCGAUGAGUAGGGCGGGACACGUGGUAUCCUGUCUGAAUAUGGGGGGACCAUCCUCCAAGGCUAAAUACUCCUGACUGACCGAUAGUGAACCAGUACCGUGAGGGAAAGGCGAAAAGAACCCCGGCGAGGGGAGUGAAAAAGAACCUGAAACCGUGUACGUACAAGCAGUGGGAGCACGCUUAGGCGUGUGACUGCGUACCUUUUGUAUAAUGGGUCAGCGACUUAUAUUCUGUAGCAAGGUUAACCGAAUAGGGGAGCCGAAGGGAAACCGAGUCUUAACUGGGCGUUAAGUUGCAGGGUAUAGACCCGAAACCCGGUGAUCUAGCCAUGGGCAGGUUGAAGGUUGGGUAACACUAACUGGAGGACCGAACCGACUAAUGUUGAAAAAUUAGCGGAUGACUUGUGGCUGGGGGUGAAAGGCCAAUCAAACCGGGAGAUAGCUGGUUCUCCCCGAAAGCUAUUUAGGUAGCGCCUCGUGAAUUCAUCUCCGGGGGUAGAGCACUGUUUCGGCAAGGGGGUCAUCCCGACUUACCAACCCGAUGCAAACUGCGAAUACCGGAGAAUGUUAUCACGGGAGACACACGGCGGGUGCUAACGUCCGUCGUGAAGAGGGAAACAACCCAGACCGCCAGCUAAGGUCCCAAAGUCAUGGUUAAGUGGGAAACGAUGUGGGAAGGCCCAGACAGCCAGGAUGUUGGCUUAGAAGCAGCCAUCAUUUAAAGAAAGCGUAAUAGCUCACUGGUCGAGUCGGCCUGCGCGGAAGAUGUAACGGGGCUAAACCAUGCACCGAAGCUGCGGCAGCGACGCUUAUGCGUUGUUGGGUAGGGGAGCGUUCUGUAAGCCUGUGAAGGUGUACUGUGA